rnacentral:lncRNA from 1 species
GACCAGGGCUGAGGCCAGGCUGCGGCUAAUCAGACCAGAUGCUUCCGCCCUACCCGGGAGUCGUGUCGUGUCGUGUGCGGGGUGUGCAGAUGUCUCAGCGCAGCAGGCCCAGGGAGCCUGGGCCAGGCCACGCCCGCACGGCUGCUGAAGGGGACUCAGGGACGGGUCACCCGAAGCCUGUCCUCCGGAGGCUCCAUGUCCUGCGUCGGGGAUUUCCUCCAGGGUACAGACACCUGUCCUGUCGCCUCCUGCCUCGCUGGUCCCUGCUGCCCAGAGAGACCCUCCCCUCCCCGGACCUCCUUUGCCCUUGGACACUCCUUGAGGCUUCCAGGGCACCCCGAAGGGAGGGCAUAGACCGUGACCAGGCAGAGAAGCAGCCGACAGAGAGCCGGAGACGGUGAAGGGACUGAUAUGGAGGCUGGCGCCCGGGCCUGGGACAGUUGCCUGCUGGACAAGGACACCUUCCUGGAAAACUUCCACCUUGAGUGGUGGCCAAAUAAGGCCUACCUCUGCUACGAGACGGAGCUCCCCAGCGGUGACCCCGGGGUCCCUCUGGGCCAACACAAGGACGUCCUGUGCAAUAAGGUUGGACCGAUCUCCAUGGUCCUGGGAGCCCCCACAGUGACAUUCAUCCCAUGGACCCUGGGGGCCUCUCUCCUUGGCGCCCCUCCCCCCUUGUCACUGCACAGGGAGCCCUUUUGUAUCCCACAGGUGAGCAUCCAGAAGCCCCCUCCUUUGGGCGCAGACCUGGCGGGGCUCCAGAAACUCAGUAGUCAAGUUGAAUCCCAUUUGAAUGCAAUAGCUUAAAAGCCAAACUUCAUGCCAAUCCCACGAU